CGUGGAGCAGCUGGGCGGGGCUUCCCACCUCGACGAGGUGGGCCUGCACGCGGGCUCGCACCCCGCGCCCGGGCUCGGAGCCGAACUCCUCGGC
rnacentral:tRNA from 1 species